rnacentral:rRNA from 1 species
AACGUACGCUGGCGGCACGCCUUAUACAUGCAAGUCGAACGAAGUAGCAAUACUUAGUGGCAGACGGGUGAGUAACAUGUAGGUAUCUUCCCUUUGGUGAGGAAUAACACGAGGAAACUUGUGCUAAUACCUCAUAAGUCUUUACGGAGAAAGCUUUAUGCGCCGAAGGAUGAGCCUGCACUUGAUUAGUUUGUUGGUGGGGUAAUGGCCUACCAAGACUUUGAUCUAUAGCUGAUCUGAGAGGAUGAUCGGCCACAUUGGGACUGAGACACGGCCCAAAACUCCUACGGGAGGCAGCAGUAGGGAAUAUUGCACAAUGGAGGAAACUCUGAUGCAGCGAUGCCGCGUGAGUGAAGAAGGCCUUUGGGUGUAAAGCUCUUUCGUCGGGAAGAAAUGACUGUACCCGAUAAAGAAGGUCCGGCUAACUUCGUGCCAGCCGCCGCCGUAAU